CACAUUUUGCUAGACUUAAAGUGUGUAAAAAUCAUUUAAAAACACAAGGAAGGGGUUGCAUGCAUCGGGGCUUGCCUGGAAGAACACUAGGUUAGUGUUGUUAGACGUCGAUUACUUGACGAUCAGCCUUUGUUCCGAUACUUGCUUCGUCUAUCCAUCUUCAGGUUAAUCCACCAACAUCAUCUUGUGGAGAAGCUCACGCUUUCCAGCAUCUUGUGGUCGACUUAGUUCUGGUUCUCCACAUCACGUGGUUAAUUCACGUACCUGAAUGAAAUGCAUUAUGCACAUGAAUGCAUAUAGACAGGAAUAUCACAUACCUAAAUAGUGCUACGCGAUAGCGAAUUAAACACCUAGCGGCGAGGCGUUGUACAAUUUCAUACGGAAACACUAGUUAUCGAUAUACGACUACGCUCAAUUAUCACAUUUUUCUAGCGUGAUCGCAUCUACUUUAAACAUCAAGUAAUAAUAGGCUAAGCACAAGUCUUUUAUCGAAACACCCAAUAUCAAAUUACUCGUCAUAUUUUCAUUUACUAUUUUUGAAUACCGACAAUUUAGAGUAAAACAUUCACUAUUUUUAAAUACCGACAAUUUAGAGUAAAGAAGCAUAUUAAUCUAAUUACUCAAUAUCCGACUCCAACAUUAUCGAUCACAAACAUAGAUGAUACUAACUACUAGCACAGGAUAUCGACUUCAUCUAUUAACCAAGCCGACAUAAUAACACUAGAAAAUUUAUUAACUAGCCGAUAGAAAUACUAAACCUUUUUUUACGUCAUCAGCUCGCCCGAAUAUCACACGAAUUAAUCUAUCUUUUGCAUUACUAACUCCAUCGUAUCUCACACAUAUUUAACACUACCACAACGCGCCUAUGCUAACACGAGGAUUAUUACGAUUAAUAUAUAUCUAUUCAAUCCAUCGACUCAAUCAAUUAAAAAAUAGCGAACUAAAGAACGGUUACCUAUUCAAUUAGAAUUUCAAGCAAACGUUGCUGAUUCUUGUUCAUGCCUUCUAUCGAGCCCCUGACAAGCGCCCAGCGGGCUUCACUUCUUCACUCAAAUUCCUAAAAAUUGCAGCGGUGAUCGAAGGCGAGCACAUAGAGGCAAAGUCGGAGCGAACACAACGACAAUAAGGUUGUUGCUAUUUGAAACACAGACCCGGCGACGUAAAACCAAAGUUGUCGACGACGGGGUCCCAGUCGAGCAUCUGAGCAGAGGGGAGGUGUCCCGACAUGGUAAGAAAUGACAGCGCGACGACGAGGAGCUAGCGGACGAGUAGCACACUGACGAAUCCAACCUAGAGCUUUGGGCAAGGUCGAGGACGCUCGUGCUGCAGCCAGGACAUCUUGACGACGCUACGGAUGGUGAAAACAGGGUGAUGGUGUGAAGCGGUGUCCAUGAGGACAACAACACGUGGAUGGUUGCGUGGCAUCGACGACCAAGACGACGACAAGGACCGCACGGCUAGUCGAAAAUAUCUACAGAGGACACGGCGAGCACAACCAAGGCGCAUGGAGCUCGUAGGGC
rnacentral:lncRNA from 1 species